GCUGGCGGCGUGCCUAAUACAUGCAAGUCGAACGCACAGCGAAAGGUGCUUGCACCUUUCAAGUGAGUGGCGAACGGGUGAGUAACACGUGGACAACCUGCCUCAAGGCUGGGGAUAACAUUUGGAAACAGAUGCUAAUACCGAAUAAAACUUAGUGUCGCAUGACACAAAGUUAAAAGGCGCUUCGGCGUCACCUAGAGAUGGAUCCGCGGUGCAUUAGUUAGUUGGUGGGGUAAAGGCCUACCAAGACAAUGAUGCAUAGCCGAGUUGAGAGACUGAUCGGCCACAUUGGGACUGAGACACGGCCCAAACUCCUACGGGAGGCUGCAGUAGGGAAUCUUCCACAAUGGGCGAAAGCCUGAUGGAGCAACGCCGCGUGUGUGAUGAAGGCUUUCGGGUCGUAAAGCACUGUUGUAUGGGAAGAACAGCUAGAAUAGGAAAUGAUUUUAGUUUGACGGUACCAUACCAGAAAGGGACGGCUAAAUACGUGCCAGCAGCCGCGGUAAUACGUAUGUCCCGAGCGUUAUCCGGAUUUAUUGGGCGUAAAGCGAGCGCAGACGGUUUAUUAAGUCUGAUGUGAAAGCCCGGAGCUCAACUCCGGAAUGGCAUUGGAAACUGGUUAACUUGAGUGCAGUAGAGGUAAGUGGAACUCCAUGUGUAGCGGUGGAAUGCGUAGAUAUAUGGAAGAACACCAGUGGCGAAGGCGGCUUACUGGACUGCAACUGACGUUGAGGCUCGAAAGUGUGGGUAGCAAACAGGAUUAGAUACCCUGGUAGUCCACACCGUAAACGAUGAACACUAGGUGUUAGGAGGUUUCCGCCUCUUAGUGCCGAAGCUAACGCAUUAAGUGUUCCGCCUGGGGAGUACGACCGCAAGGUUGAAACUCAAAGGAAUUGACGGGGACCCGCACAAGCGGUGGAGCAUGUGGUUUAAUUCGAAGCAACGCGAAGAACCUUACCAGGUCUUGACAUCCUUUGAAGCUUUUAGAGAUAGAAGUGUUCUCUUCGGAGACAAAGUGACAGGUGGUGCAUGGUCGUCGUCAGCUCGUGUCGUGAGAUGUUGGGUUAAGUCCCGCAACGAGCGCAACCCUUAUUGUUAGUUGCCAGCAUUCAGAUGGGCACUCUAGCGAGACUGCCGGUGACAAACCGGAGGAAGGCGGGGACGACGUCAGAUCAUCAUGCCCCUUAUGACCUGGGCUACACACGUGCUACAAUGGCGUAUACAACGAGUUGCCAACCCGCGAGGGUGAGCUAAUCUCUUAAAGUACGUCUCAGUUCGGAUUGUAGUCUGCAACUCGACUACAUGAAGUCGGAAUCGCUAGUAAUCGCGGAUCAGCACGCCGCGGUGAAUACGUUCCCGGGUCUUGUACACACCGCCCGUCACACCAUGGGAGUUUGUAAUGCCCAAAGCCGGUGGCCUAACCUUUUAGGAAGGAGCCGUCUAAGGCAGGACAGAUGAC
rnacentral:rRNA from 1 species